UUCUAUAUAUAAAUGUGUUUGAGUCUUAAAUAAAACUAUGUCUUAAUUUAAAAAUAGAACAGUUCAAAAUGAUUGACACUUGUUCCAAUUUCCAUUAACAGAUUUGGAAAGGCUCACUAUUGGCUAAGGAUGAGCCACCACUAGUCACAGAGAAUAUUAUUGUCUGCACUGGUGUCCAUCAAAAGUCAGUGUUUGCCAAGAACUGCCACAUGUUUCUCUCUGAGUUACUGUAGUUGCAUGAAAUAGAAGAUGAUUCCUGUCAUACCUAUGCUAUUUAAGACACAACAUGUGAUAAUCACCAUUAAAGGUCAGUAUUAUCUGCCUGGAAGUACCUGUCACACGAUAGAAUUAUAUACAUCACAAUAUACCAUCUACAUGCUGUAAUUGUAAUUGAAAAAUAUUUUCCACCUUUUUGAUAUUGGAAGAUUUUAUAACUAGGUAUUAUCUAGCAUUUUCUAAGUUUGCAAGUGAAAUGUAUUUUAUGACAUCUGUUGGCACAAUACUUAAAAACCAUACAGGAGACAUGGUAACGUAAAAUACAUUUUCAUUUGCCUUUCACUUGUUUUUUGUUGUUUUCUUUCUUUAUUUGGAUUACUUUUAGAAGGAAAAAAAAUAUCUGUUUUUAAAGGCAUUUUCUUCUUUUCACAGCUAAUGUUUCAUACUCCCUGAUCCUGUAGUGAAUGAAUUAUUGUGGAUUUAUGAACAUAUUAAUCAUCUCCAUGGAAACAGUUUGCAAUUUCACAGCACAAGAGUUUGACUUCCCUGCAUGAUAAAGAAAAAGGAAUAAGCUAAAAAAGUGAAGCUGAGAGGAGAUGUAAUGCCCCUUCCAACUCAGGCACAGUCAAAGUUAUGAACAUCUGCUGUGGACUCCUGGGUCUAGGAGAGAAAUCAGUCCAUCCAGACUGUGGGUGACCAAGAGCUUUGCAGUUUGCAGAUGCAGACUUUCAGGAGGAACAUGAUGCCUGCCAGCUGGGACCAUGAUGCAGCCCAGAAACACCUGAUGCUAGCAGAGAAGCUCAGGAAGGGAGGGUGCUCUGGGGAGACCUAUCAGAAGAGGAAGGAAGAGAGGAAGUACUGAAAAAGAAAGCACAGCUUUAUCUUAGGUGUUGGUGGGGAGCCUGGAGGCUGAAGGUUAAAGAAAGUUUGGAUGUUUCUUCUUGGCUGCUUCUGAAGAUGGAGGUGGUGGUUACUUUAAGCUCCUUGGUGCUCCAAGAGGAUCCCGUAGCAGCUGUAUGGACUCUGCUCCUCCAGGCUCCGUUUCAGGUCAGUUGA
rnacentral:lncRNA from 1 species